AAAAACUUUGUGUUGAAUAUAUAAAAGGUCGUUUUCUUUAUCAUCUUAAAAUCCAGGAGAGACUUCUGUGAACCAAGUUCAUUUUCCAGAGGGGAUGGGUUGGUCCUGCGGCAUUCCCUUCUCCUUCGUGGUAGCCUCGAGAUUGAACACCGUCUGACAGCGACACAGGACUUACAAGUGCAGAGAGCUGCUCCCUCCGCUGUCCCUGGCUCUGGAGGCAGCCUGCAAUCAACUCUCCCUUCUGCCACAGUCGCUUCUCAGAAGCCAAGGGAGGGGGGUCCCCUCAGGGUGCAGGCAGGACAAGCGCACACCGAGAAGGUUCUUAAGUCUAGAAGACUUUUGGUGGAGUUCCUGGGAUCUUCUAUAUAGAGUCUCAUGUCAUCUGCAAAUAAUGACACGUUGACUUCUUCCUUUCCUAUCUUUAUUCUUUUUAUUCCUUUCUCUUGUCUAAUUGCUGUGGCUAAUGUUUCCAAGACUAUAUUGAAUAGGAGUGGAGAUAGUGGACGUUCUUGUCAUGUUCCUGAUUUUAGUGUGGAGGAUUUCAGUUUUUGACUAUGUAGUGUGAUAUUGGCUGUUGGUUUUUCAUAGAUGGCUUUGAUCAGAUUGAAGGAGAAGCCACUGACUCAACUCCAGCUGAGCCUCCAUGGUGCUGCUGCACCCGAGCCAUGUCUGCCAACUCCAGCCUAGGUGCAAAACAAUCCCCAUCUUAGAAGAUGUCUUCCUGAGAAAUGAGCCACUGACAUGCAAAACAGUCCACACACCCUACCCCAAAUUCUGGUUCCAUGGACACAGUCCUCUCUGUUAUGGCAAAAAGAAUAGAAAGGUGCAACCCCCAGAGAAUUUAUUACUAACCUGUCCAUUUCACAGAUGUGGAAACUGAGGUCCAGAAAGUUGAAAUACUGUACUUACAGUUUUUCUAUUAUUAGUAACUAAAUCAAGCUUGAUCCCUCCCUCUCCAUUUUUGUCUCUUGGUCUACCAGUGAGGAAGAUUUGUUGUUCUGGCCAAGGACAGUUGCACAGGUUAGCUGUGUAGUCUGCGCACUGCACAAUGCCAGGUGGUAGCAUUCACACAAAGUAAGACCAAGACUAUGGGUAGUGCUGCCUCCCACCCUGGCCCUCGGCUUGUGCAUGCCAGCGACCCCUGGGCAGAGGCCCUGCAGAGCCACUUGGGGUAAAUCAGAUGAAGGACAGAGGAUGGAGGCAUUCUGCACUCGAGUUAAAAUCAAGCCAAGAAAUGAAUCUCUUGUUAGGAAUUUUGCCUGGUGAAUCAUGUUGAACUGAGAGCUGUCUGUGGUGAGCACAGGCAAUAUCCAAUCACUAGCUGUACUUCGCCUCCUCACAGUUACACCCUGCUGUGUGAGGAAAGUGUCUCUCUUCCUCAGAAAACAAGAUCCAAGGUGCAAAACCCAUCAACUGGGGCGUCAUGGAAUAUCUUGGAAAAUUUUAGAGCUAGUAAUUUCCUUCUGCCAGGAAUAAUUUGGUUUAGUCUUUCUUUUUCUAAAUGUCCACAUCAGCAGUGGAAUAGCAAAACAUGAAUUGGACUGCCUAUGGACCGUGAUUUACUGUCACUCUUUCCGACCAGGCUUAGACUACAGGCAGGUACUAACCCAGAAGGCAGAAGUCUGGAGGCCUGAAAGAAUUACAGGACAAAAUACUGGCCCCUCACAGGAACUGAGCAAGACUUGAGUGUCGGAAGUCCAGACAUGUAUUACAUUUAUUCAUUAAACAAUGAUGUACUGAGUGGCUAUGUUGAACCAUUUGCUUCAUCACACAACUGGGACACAUUGGUGGUGGAAUGCACAAGAAUCCUUGUGAAAUGAAGUCUGCACAUUCUAAAAGCAGGAGACCAGCAAUUAACAAUACAUGUGAUAACAGAGUAAAUUCUGCAGUGUGUUGGAAGCUGAGAAAUUCUACAGGAAAAAAUAAGGGAUGAUUUAUUUUGGCUCCCAGUUUCAGAAGUUUCAGUCCACAGUUAGCUGGUUCCAUCCCCUUAAGCCUGUGGUGAGGCUGAAGCAGCAUGGUUUCUACCACGAAAGGGCACGGCAGAGGAAAACUGCUCAUCUCAACGUGGCCAUGAGGCAGAGAAGAAGAGAAAGGGCCAGACAGGAAGGGGCCAGGGUGUGAAAUACUCUGCAAAGACGUGGCACCUCCACUUAGACUAUCACCUCCUAACAGCCCGUUCAGCUAAGGAGCUCAUCAGCGGGUCGACCCACGGGUGAAGUUAGCAUCUUCUUGAUUUCAUCACCGCUGUGGGCCCCACCUCUGAACACUGCCGCACCGGCGUUCAAGCCCUCAGUGCGGCUGUUCACAGUGGCUGAGGAGCCUUCUGGGGCAUUUCAGCAGCGUCCCUGGACACAGUGAAUCGACAGACUUCUUUUUGAAAAACUUCUAUAAAGAGCUAUUGCUGCAUCCAGCAGGAAGCCAUAGACACAACUAUUUUACAUCUGCGUGAUGAAACAAUGUAUUUAUCAAAAGCAACCUCUAAGUAGGUUGCCAUUAUCAAAGACAUCAGCAGCCCAUCUCCCUGGGAGACAGUGAAACCCUGCAUUUAUCUAAAUUAUCUCGGUAAUAUGACGGAGUGAUUGCUCACUAAUGGUCAGUAAUAGUUUUCUUUGUCAUUUUCCUAGUCAUUACCUCCUCAGAAUGAACUCCAGAAUAAACUGCUUGGAGUCUGUGACUAGAAUGCUAAGUUCCACUUUGUGUUUGUGGCUGGUUCUUUCAAAUGCAUGAACUGGGCUAACAUAGUUCUGACAUUUCCAUUUUGUGCAGAAGAAUGCCCUGCCUUAGGAAGUCUGAUGGAUGCAGG
ensembl:lncRNA